CUUCUGGUCUGGUGGCGAGUGGCGAACGGGUGAGUAAUGUAUUUGAACGUGCCUAGUAGCGGGGGAUAACUACGAAAGCGUAGCUGCACACCGCAUACGCCCUUCGGGGGAAAGCGGGGGACCUUCUGGCCUCGCACUAUUAGAGCGGCUGAUAUCGGAUUAGCUAGUUGGUGGGGGUAACGGGCUCACCUCAAGGGCGACGAUCCGUAGCUGGUUUGAGAGGACGACCAGCCACACUGGGACUGAGACACGGCCCAGGACUCCUACGGAGGCAGCAGUGGGGAAUUUUGGACAAUGGGGAAACUCCCGAUCCAGCCAUCCCGCGUGUGCGAUGAAGGCCUUGGGUUGUAAAGCACUUUUUGGCAGGAAGAAACGGCACGGGAUAAUACCCGUGCAACUGACGGUACCUGUAAGAAUAAGCACCGGUUAACCAUGCCAGCAGCCGCGGUAAUACGUAGGGUGCGUUGUUGACCGGAAUUACUGGGCGUAAAGCGUGCGCAGCGGUUCGGAAAGAAAGAUGUGAAACCCCAGGAGCUUAACUUUGGAACUGCAUUUUUAACUACCGAGCUAGAGGUGUCAGAGGGGAGGUGGAAUUCCGCGUGUAGCAGUGAAAUGCGUAGAUAUGCGGAGGAACACCGAUGGCGAAGGCAGCCUCCUGGGAUAACACUGACGCUCAUGCACGAAAGCGUGGGGAGCAAACAGAUUAGAUACCCCAGUAGUCCACGCCCUAAACGAUGUCAACUAGCUGUUGGGGCUCUUCGCCUUGGUAGCGCAGCUAACGCGUGAAGUUGACCGCCUGGGGAGUACGGUCGCAAGAUUAAAACUCAAAGUGGGAAUUGACGGGACCCGCGCACAAGCGGUGGAUGAUGUGGAUUAAUUCGAUGCAACGAAACCCUUACCUACCCUUGACAUGUCUGGAAUCCCGAAGAGAUUUGGGAGUGCUCGCAAGAGAACCGGAACACAGGUGCUGCAUGGCUGUCGUCAGCUCGUGUCGAGAUGUUAGCAGUCCCGCAACGAGCGCAACCCUUGUCAUUAGUUGCUACGAAAGGGCACCUAAUGAGACUGCCGGUGACAAACCGGAGGAAGGUGGGAUGACGUCAAGUCCUCAUGGCCCUUAUGGGUAGGGCUUCACACGUCAUACAAUGGUCGGGACAGAGGGUCGCCAACCCGCGAGGGGGAGCCAAUCCCAGAAACCCGAUCGUAGUCCGGAUCGCAGUCUGCAACUCGACUGCGUGAAGUCGGAAUCGCUAGCAAUCGCGGAUCAGCAUGUCGCGGUGAAUCACGUUCCCGGGUCUUGUACACACCGCCCGUCACACCAUGGGAGUGGGUUUUACCAGAAGUAGUUAGCCUAACCGUAAGGAGGGCGAUUACCACGGUAGGAUCUAUGACUGGGGUGAAGUCGUAACAAGGUAG
rnacentral:rRNA from 1 species